GGAGAAUGACUUGAACCAGGGAGGCGGAGGUUGCGCUGGAUGGACAGAAGCCCACUAGGCUGAUUUACUGAAAUUCAGAAAUGAAAAGACCUGGGUGCCAGGAAUGAUGAAAACUUGAAGAUGUAUGUGACCAUGAGAACACCGUAACCUAUGAAUGACCGGAUAAGAACGGAAACCUAAAAUAAUGGAAACUGAGAGUGACACUAAGACCCUAAGUUUUGGUGACACUCUGACCUAUGUGAAAACUUAAUCAAAAGGGGGAAAUAUUUUAAACAAAAUUAUUCGAGGCCAUCAUUCUGGACUGAGCUUGUUCACUAGGCCCAAACAGACCAAACCAAAGCAAACCAAAAUGGAGUCAUUCAUGCUAAAUGUGACAUAGUCAAACUGCAAAUUUAAAGAAAUAGGUAGAUUCUAAAACUGGCCACGUCUUGUUUUUCUUUGGUAAAAAGCAGAUUUCGAUACAAGGAGGUUUCUUCUACUGUAAUCAUUUUUAAAAAUAAUAAACUGAAGUACUUGUUUUCACUUUGUAAAACCCACAGUUCUGCUAUUUUAUAGUGGAAUUUGAGACUAAAUAAGUACAUUUGUAAUGGUGACAAAGUAAUAUCACUGUCUAAAGUUUUGGUUUAUUUCUUGAAAUUGAGGAGAUAACCAAAAGGGAGAUAUUGCUAAAUUAAUUAUAGCCUAAAGCUGACCCCUUUUAUGUUUAAUUUUCGUUAAUAGGGUUUUCUGUACAUAGUAAAUGAAAACCUAGCUGAAUAUGUACAUAGAUUGUAACCUAUUCUUGUACCAACCACUGUGUUUUUCACAAUAAAAGAACAUCGAAUGAUCAAACGGUAUUCAAAUAAGGCAAAUCCCAAGCUGUAAUAAAUCUGGCUGUUUCUGUACCUCACUUGUAUUUUCUGUAUGUCACUUUGCUUUCUCUGUACAUAAAUCUUUUUUACUUUGUGGCUGUGCUGGGGUCUGUCUGAGGCUACUAGGGACCCACAGGCUGCUUAAUUUGCAAAUUAUUCUUUGCUCAAUUAAACUACGUUAAAUUUAAUUUCUCUGAAGUUUUUUUUCUUUUAAAA